AUUGAACGCUGGUGGCAGGCCUAACACAUGCAAGUCGAACGAGUGGCGGACGGGUGAGUAAUGUCUGGGAAACUGCCCGAUGGAGGGGGAUAACUACUGGAAACGGUAGCUAAUACCGCAUACCCUCGGAUGUGCCCAGAUGGGAUUUGCUAGUAGGUGGGGGAACGGCCCACCUAGGCGCCGAUCCCUAGCUGGUCUGAGAGGAUGACCAGGCACACUGGAACUGAGACACGGUCCAGGCUCCUACGGGAGGCAGCAGUGGGGAAUAUUGCACAAUGGGCGCAAGCCUGAUGCAGCCAUGCCGCGUGUAUGAAGAAGGCCUUCGGGUUGUAAAGUACUUUCAGAGAGGAUGGGUUACUCGCAGAAGAAGCACCGGCUAACUCCGUGCCAGCAGCCGCGGUAAUUC
rnacentral:rRNA from 1 species